CCCCCCCCCCCCCCCCCCCCCGUCACAUUACCUGUCACCUGAUGGUUCUGUGUUCCAACACUGCAUUUGCAGCAAGUUUGGGCUAGAACUCAAUAUAUAUUUCUGAAUGAAUGCCUGACAUAAACAAAGAUGUGUCCAAGUACGUUCUCUUCAUAUAUUUACCUGCCUUUUCCUGAAUUGGCCUGACUUUGAACUUGAUUAUGCGCUUAGCAAAUAUGUUUUUGGUCUCAAUGCUCUUAUGCUACUUCAGUAGCCAUGAAUUAAAAAUGUUAAUUUCUGUCAAUAUUUAGUUGUGUAUUUCACUUCUAAGACAGUUGUUUCUAUCUGGGGAGACAAUAAAUAGCCCUUGAAAGUUUCCUUUCUGAGACACAUUUCUUCAGUUCCCGAGAGUUGAAUCUAAAAAGCAAUACUAUAUAUUACAUUUGGCAUCAACUCGGAUGCAGGAGCCUCGAAAAGGAAAACCAUAGUAAUCACAAACUGCUAAGAUGCUCUUGAUUUUCACAGACUCAGAAAUAACAAAGAUUGACUGCUGCAGGGGUGAAUGACUGUAUCGAAAAUUCAGGAAACAUACAUAUAGGUAACCCUGCCGAACGGUUGCAUGUUCUUUGUAUUUUCUUGACUUUCCCACAAGGUUUAUUCUUGAAACCUUAAAACCAUAAGAAAGAUGGAAUAUAAAAUUAAGAGUGCCUGUUCUCCUAAAAAUAAUAACAUUCAGAUAUGGAUCAGAAUCAUCGGCCCAAUUCUGCAGGUUUUUUCAGAUGUACCAGGUAUAUACCCACCUACCUCUGGUUUUUAUACUAAUCUUAAGUAAGAUAAAGAGGAAACAACAAAUAGAUAAUGAUGAAUCGACUGUUAUAUUCUGAAUUGUUUUGUGCACUAGCUAAUUACAACUUUUUAACUGGACUAAUAACUGAACACACCUUUGUUCUGAGGUCAAGGAUACUGUGUAGUAGCCUGUGUGUGAUGAAAAUGUCCAGAAUAAAUACCAUUUGUUGUUGAAAUGUGUUAUCUCAUAUCUAUUAACAUUUUAUCAGGACUACUGUGAAAUUCUAUAUGUUAAAACCAUCUACUUGAUGUACAAAGUCAUUGGAUCUGUUGAUUGGGAACUCAUUUUUCUAAGCCAAAGUUUGUGCUGUCCCUUCACUAGAACUUUACUUCACUUAUGUGUUCCAUACUUGUUAUCAUUUAUAUACUUUGUUCGCAAAUAAUAAAUAUUCUAUGCUUGUUUUUUUUUUUUAACUAGGUGUUUUUGUGUAUUUUUUUAAAUAAAUA